UUGGAGGGCAAGUCUGGUGCCAGCAGCCGCGGUAAUUCCAGCUCCAAUAGCGUAUAUUAGAGUUGUUGCAGUUAAAAAGCUCGUAGUUGAAUUUCGGGGUCAGUAGGUUGGUCAUGCCACUGGUUUGUACUGGUCUCACUGAUUCCUCCUUCCUGAUGAGCCGUAAUGCCAUUAAUUUGGUGUUGCGAGGAAUCUGGACUGUUACUUUGAAAAAAUUAGAGUGUUUAAAGCAAGCUAACGCUUGAAUACAUUAGCAUGGAAUAAUGAAAUAGGACGUUCGAUCCUAUUUUGUUGGUUUCUAGGAUUGACGUAAUGAUUAAUAGGGAUAGUUGGGGGCAUUAGUAUUCAAUUGUCAGAGGUGAAAUUCUUGGAUUUAUUGAAGACUAACUACUGCGAAAGCAUUUGCCAAGGAUGUUUUCAUUAAUCAAGAACGAAAGUUAGGGGAUCGAAGACGAUCAGAUACCGUCGUAGUCUUAACCAUAAACUAUGCCGACUAGGGAUCGGAUGAUGUUAAUUUUUUAAUGACUCAUUCGGCGCCUUACGGGAAACCAAAGUGUUUGGGUUC
rnacentral:rRNA from 1 species